rnacentral:rRNA from 1 species
UACAGAGGGGGCAAGCGUUGUUCGGAAUUACUGGGCGUAAAGGGCGCGUAGGCGGCCUUCUAAGUCGAACGUGAAAUCCCCGGGCUCAACCCGGGAACUGCGUCCGAUACUGGAAGGCUUGAAUCCGGGAGAGGGAUGCGGAAUUCCAGGUGUAGCGGUGAAAUGCGUAGAUAUCUGGAGGAACACCGGUGGCGAAGGCGGCUCGCUGGACCGCAACUGACGCUGAGGAACGAAAGCUAGGGGAGCAAACAGG